rnacentral:rRNA from 1 species
CUACGGGAGGCAGCAGUAGGGAAUCUUCCGCAAUGGACGAAAGUCUGACGGAGCAACGCCGCGUGAGUGAUGAAGGCUUUCGGGUCGUAAAACUCUGUUGUUAGGGAAGAACAAGUGCUAGUUGAAUAAGCUGGCACCUUGACGGUACCUAACCAGAAAGCCACGGCUAACUACGUGCCAGCAGCCGCGGUAAUACGUAGGUGGCAAGCGUUAUCCGGAAUUAUUGGGCGUAAAGCGCGCGCAGGUGGUUUCUUAAGUCUGAUGUGAAAGCCCACGGCUCAACCGUGGAGGGUCAUUGGAAACUGGGAGACUUGAGUGCAGAAGAGGAAAGUGGAAUUCCAUGUGUAGCGGUGAAAUGCGUAGAGAUAUGGAGGAACACCAGUGGCGAAGGCGACUUUCUGGUCUGUAACUGACACUGAGGCGCGAAAGCGUGGGGAGCAAACAGGAUUAGAUACCCUGGUAGUCCACGCCGUAAACGAUGAGUGCUAAGUGUUAGAGGGUUYCCGCCCUUUAGUGCUGAAGUUAACGCAUUAAGCACUCCGCCUGGGGAGUACGGCCGCAAGGCUGAAACUCAAAGGAAUUGACG